GCAAUAGAAGCUAAAAUAGCGUCGGUCUUGUAAGCCGAAGAGUGAAGGGAAUCCUUUUUAUUGCU
rnacentral:tRNA from 1 species